CAAAAAUGAUGUUAUUUUAGAGGUGACAGCUGGAAGGACUACUGGAGGUGACAUCUGCCAACAAUUUACCCGAGAAAUAUUUGACAUGUACCAGAAUUAUUCGUGCUAUAAACACUGGCAAUUUGAACUUCUGAAUUAUACACCAGCAGAUUAUGGUGGAUGUGAAAUUGGACCCCAAGGAUUUGCGAAUAGAUACAUUUCGAGCCAAAGGAGCAGGAGGGCAGCAUGUUAAUAAAACUGAUAGUGCCGUCAGACUUGUCCACAUCCCCACAGGAAACUGUUAAAAAAAAAAAAAAAAAGGCCCGGUGCAGUGGCUCACGCCUGUAAUCCCAGCACUUUGGGAGGCCAAGGCAGACAGAUCACCUGAGGUCGGGAGUUCAAGACCAGCCUGACCAACAUGGAGAAACCCCAGCUCUACUAAAAAUACAAAAUUAGCUGGGCCUGGUGGCGCAUGCAUGUAAUCCCAGCUCCUCGGGAGGCUGAGGCAGGAGAAUUGCUUGAACCUGGGAGGCAGAGGUUGCAGUGAACUGAGAUCACGCCAUUGCACUCCAGCCUGGGCAACAAGAGUGAAACUCCGUCUCAAAAAAAAAAAAGAAAAGAAUAUAUGCAUGAGCAAAAGAACAUAAAACAUCCGUAAUAAUAAC
rnacentral:lncRNA from 10 species